rnacentral:rRNA from 1 species
CAGUCGCCGCGGUAAUACGAAGGGGGCUAGCGUUGUUCGGAAUUACUGGGCGUAAAGGGAGCGUAGGCGGAUCGUUAAGUUGGGGGUGAAAGCCCGGGGCUCAACCUCGGAAUUGCCUUCAAUACUGGCGAUCUUGAGUAUGGAAGAGGUAUGUGGAACUCCGAGUGUAGAGGUGAAAUUCGUUGAUAUUCGGAAGAACACCAGUGGCGAAGGCGACAUACUGGUCCAUUACUGACGCUGAGGCUCGAAAGCGUGGGGAGCAAUCAGGAUUAGAUACCCGAGUAGUCCCUGUCUCUUAUAC